rnacentral:rRNA from 1 species
CAGGGCGGCGGCGUGCUUACCAUGCAGUCGAACGAUGAUGCCCAGCUUGCUGGGCGGAUUAGUGGCGAACGGGUGAGUAACACGUGGGUGAUCUGCCCUGCACUUCGGGAUAAGCCUGGGAAACUGGGUCUAAUACCGGAUAUGACCACAGGAUGCAUGUUUUGUGGUGGAAAGGUUUACUGGUGCAGGAUGAGCCCGCGGCCUAUCAGCUUGUUGGUGGGGUAAUGGCCUACCAAGGCGACGACGGGUAGCCGGCCUGAGAGGGCGACCGGCCACACUGGGACUGAGACACGGCCCAGACUCCUACGGGAGGCAGCAGUGGGGAAUAUUGCACAAUGGGCGAAAGCCUGAUGCAGCGACGCCGCGUGAGGGAUGACGGCCUUCGGGUUGUAAACCUCUUUCAGCAGGGACGAAGCGCAAGUGACUGUACCUGCAGAAGAAGCACCGGCUAACUACGUGCCAGCAGCCGCGGUAAUACGUAGGGUGCGAGCGUUGUCCGGAAUUACUGGGCGUAAAGAGUUCGUAGGCGGUUUGUCGCGUCGUGUGUGAAAUCCCGCAGCUCAACUGCGGGCUUGCAGGCGAUACGGGCAGACUUGAGUACUGCAGGGGAGACUGGAAUUCCUGGUGUAGCGGUGAAAUGCGCAGAUAUCAGGAGGAACACCGGUGGCGAAGGCGGGUCUCUGGGCAGUAACUGACGCUGAGGAACGAAAGCGUGGGGUAGCGAACAGGAUUAGAUACCCUGGUAGUCCACGCCGUAAACGGUGGGCGCUAGGUGUGGGUUUCCUUCCACGGGAUCCGUGCCGUAGCUAACGCAUUAAGCGCCCCGCCUGGGGAGUACGGCCGCAAGGCUAAAACUCAAAGGAAUUGACGGGGGCCCGCACAAGCGGCGGAGCAUGUGGAUUAAUUCGAUGCAACGCGAAGAACCCUUACCUGGGUUUGACAUAUACCGGGACGACUGCAGAGAUGUGGUUUCCCUUGGUGGUCGGUAUACAGGUGGUGCAUGGGCUGUCGUCAGCUCGUGUCGUGAGAUGUUGGGUAGUCCCGCACGAGCGCACCUUGUUCUUAUUGUUUGCAGCACGUAAUGGUGGGGGACCUCGUAAGAAAGACUGCCG